ACUUCAUUAAUAUACACUAACGUGUAUAUACGGCCGUUUCAAUUUUUGAUUUUCCAUUAGAAAAAAUGUUCCGCCGCCUAGUGCAUAUUGUGGCGCCCUCACACGACAGAUCUCGUGCUAUUUCUGUCAAAUUAAUUGUCAAGUUGAAACUGACAUUGACAACAAAUUUUACUCGAAGCAUAAAAAAGAAGUUUGGUUCAGAUAAUAAUGUUUUUUUUUAAUUUUAUCACAAAACACAGUUUAAAAUUUAAUGCAAAUCUCUUGACAGAAUCUGUGGUCUCCAAGCAAAGAUUGCUGAGAACUGGCUUUACAGUCGUUUUGAUUAUAUAUUUGCACACAGAAUCCCUGUGAUUUGCACAGACAAAAAUAGGAUUUUGCACAAGGUGUGGAUACAGUUCUUCAACUAUCAGCUGAAUAAUACCAACAAAGAUAUCUUUGGGAUAGACUAAACCUCCUCAGUUUUGAAUGGCAAUCAAUUGUAGCAAAGGACCUGGAAUGCUAGUACAUAAUAGAGGUGUUAAACAUUCAUCACAAUGAAAUAAAUCUUCUAAUUUUUUUAUGAUGUAUCCUGCCAAGAAAGCUACUAUAUUAUUAUCACUUCUUAAGAUUGUGAAUAUUUCUUCGUACUUCAAUUGGAAAUAUGAGUUGUUCUGUGUGCUUAGUAAAGCUCUCUCUGUUUUCUUGUAAAUUUAAAAUAUUUGCAGGACUAAUAUAGUUAACAUUUUCAGCAGUGUUUGAGGAAUGGGAAGCUUUAACAAUCCCACAACGAAGAAUUUGCCUUAAUGCAUAAUCUGCAGCUCUGGCAUCUGUGGCAUCAUUAGAACCACCUUUCAGUCUUACAUGUGAAAACAUGGCCUCUACAGCGUCUGAGCUAAAGGAUCGCGUUACAACAUAA